rnacentral:rRNA from 1 species
CCUACGGGAGGCAGCAGUGGGGGAUAUUGCACAAUGGGGGGAACCCUGAUGCAGCGACGCCGCGUGGGUGAAGGAGUGCUUCGGCAUGUAAAGCCCUAUCGGCAGGGAAGAAGCAAGACGGUACCUGACUAAGAAGCCCCGGCUCACUACGUGUCAGCAGCCGCGGUAAUACGUAGGGGGCGAGCGUUAUCCGGAUUCACUGGGUGUAAAGGGAGCGUAGACGGCCAUGCAAGCCAGGGGUGAAAGCCCGGGGCCCAACCCCGGGACUGCCCUUGGAACUGUGCGGCUAGAGUGCGGGAGGGGCAGGCGGAAUUCCUGGUGUAGCGGUGAAAUGCGUAGAUAUCAGGAGGAACACCGGCGGCGAAGGCGGCCUGCUGGACCGCGACUGACGUUGAGGCUCGAAAGCGUGGGGAGCGAACAGGAUUAGAUACCCGGGUAGUC